GGUCAAGUGACCAAGCGUGCACGGUGGAUGCCUUGGCAGUCAGAGGCGAUGAAGGACGUGGUAAUCUGCGAAAAGGUUCGGGGAGUCGAUAAACAGACUUUGAUCCGA
rnacentral:rRNA from 1 species